AACAGACACUACUCUGGACUUGAUGU
rnacentral:piRNA from 1 species